GACUCACAGAUCUGAAGGCAG
rnacentral:miRNA from 1 species